rnacentral:rRNA from 1 species
AACGCGAAGAACCUUACCAGGUCUUGACAUCUGAGUGAAAGCAGCAGAGAUGUUGCCCCUCUUCGGAGCACUCAAGACAGGUGGUGCAUGGUUGUCGUCAGCUCGUGUCGUGAGAUGUUGGGUUAAGUCCCGCAACGAGCGCAACCCUUAAACUUAGUUGCCAGCACGUUAAGGUGGGCACUCUAGGUUGACUGCCGGUGACAAACCGGAGGAAGGCGGGGAUGACGUCAAAUCAUCAUGCCCCUUAUGACCUGGGCUACACACGUACUACAAUGGCCGGUACAACGGGCUGCGAAACCGCGAGGUGGAGCCAAUCCCAACAAAGCCGGUCUCAGUUCGGAUUGCAGGCUGCAACUCGCCUGCAUGAAGUCGGAAUUGCUAGUAAUCGCGGAUCAGCAUGCCGCGGUGAAUACGUUCCCGGGCCUUGUACACACCGGAGUGC